ACAGGGGACGUCCUCCGGACGUUGCGAACGUCUAAUUAGGUCCGGAUCUGGUCCGGUUCAUAACGUUCGCUGGGGGACGUUCGGAGGACGUCCGCAUUUGGUCCGGUUUAUAACGUUCGCCAGGGGACAUUUUGAGGACGUGCACUUUGACAUUAAGGUGCAAAACCAUAAAAACAAGAAGUGUUGGUGGUAUAAAAAUACUGCCUAUUAGCAUUUUUAGCACAUGUUCAAAUGAGAUAUGCUUGAGUGUUCGCAAAAACAAUAAUAAAAAAAUCUGAAAAGUGCCAUUGUCCCGGAGUGAUAAUCCUAGGAACGGGUCAUAGCUUUAAAAUAAGUUUUAGAUUCAUGCUUUAAUAAUGAUAUUUUUAUUCAAGUAGGUUAUAAUUCUAAUUUAUGUUUGUAAAUAUAUGACUUGAUGCGUUUUAACGGGCAUGCGCGUGAAGUUGAGUUGCCAUGGAAACGGAGGGUCACCAGUGCAGACAGCAAACUCCGACUCUCCCUGUUUUCACUGCUUUCAGAUCGUUCCAUGCUGAUGCCCUGCUCAGUAGCAGAGUUGAACUGGCCAUCAUCUGAACCUGGCAACCGGACACGCAAACACACACGCUCUUUUUUGAUAAUGAAAAUAAAAUUAUUUUGUUUCCUAAUA